rnacentral:piRNA from 1 species
UACUGAUGGAUACUGUAUAUGUCUUGUUGA